rnacentral:sRNA from 1 species
ACUUCCGCCUGUGGCGGGCCGCAGUGGUGGAGGAACUUCCGGCAGCGGCAGCUCAAGUGGCUAAGGCAAGAUGGGUCAAAGUCAGAGUGGUGGUCAUGGUCCUGGAGGUGGCAAGAAGGAUGACAAGGACAAGAAAAAGAAAUAUGAACCUCCUGUACCAACUAGAGUGGGGAAAAAGAAGAAGAAAACAAAGGGACCAGAUGCUGCCAGCAAACUGCCACUGGUGACACCUCACACUCAGUGCCGGUUAAAAUUACUGAAGUUAGAGAGAAUUAAAGACUAUCUUCUCAUGGAGGAGGAAUUCAUUAGAAAUCAGGAACAAAUGAAACCAUUAGAAGAAAAGCAAGAGGUAAGUUGAAAAGUUACUAUCAUUUUCUUUUUUACAAAUUGAAUUCUAUAAAAUUGUCAACAAAUAAAUGAAAUUCAAGUAGCUGAACCUGUCCAGGCUUUCAUGAGUAUUAUUAGCUGCCUUUUACAAGCAUCAGCUGCUUUGCAAAUCUAGCAAACUAUCAGGAUCAUCUACUUUGAGGUCUAGUCUGCUUUUUUUCCUUGGCAUUUUCAUAUGUAGGAGGAAAGA